ACAGUCCACCGUAACCUUCCGAACUCACGGUCGACUCGACCGCACUGCUCAGCGCACAUGGUGGGUCCCAUCAGAGCGCGACUCCCUCUGCUCCUUCUCCUUCUCUUUCUCAAUCGUUCCCCAUUUUCCCUUUCCAAUUUUUCGCCCCUCUCACCGCCUCAUCAAUCCCUGUGCCGCUCGCCAUCGAGGAGGUGGCUCGACGACCAUGCCUGAUGCCCGCUGCUGAUUUGGUGGUGCGAGCGGCGGCGGCAGCGGUGUUGGCGUUGAGCUCUGACCGCGAGAUGCAGCCGUUGGAGUGCAGCGGCGCGAGCAGGACCUCCGAGCGGGGCCGCUAGAUCCGCUUGGCGGAGUGCCGGAUCUUGCUUGCCAAAGAGGAGGCGUCCAGGGAGAACCACAUGAGUGGCGGCAGUUUGGAGGAGAGCACCUGUCUGAGUGCAGCGCAGAAAGCAAUCCCUGCAAGUCAUCAUGGAUGUGGAGUAUAGGAAGAGGACAUGAAUCUGGAGAGUUCUGGACAGUUUAUAAAUCAAAUAUCACAAGGCACAUAAGAAUUAAAUUUCUUCAUUUAAAUGCAGGACAAGAAAAAUUCUACGACAUUUGUGUUAACCUUUUUUUUUCCAUUGUCAAAGGUUCUGCUAUCCUCAGGAGCUACAAAAAAACAUACAAUGAUUAUCACUUUUUGGUGCUACAGUAAUUUCUCUGGAAAUGUUUUCCCCAGAUCAGGUUCUAUUUUUCUAUAGUUUAUUUUCCCACAAA